UUUGAAGCUGACAUUGUAUCUGCAGAGAGUAAAGAUUCUAGUUAGACUUUUGUACUUGAUCCUAAUCUGUUCUAAGGUCUUUUAGAACAAAUGUAACUCCCACUAUUUUCUCGAAUCCCUCACACUCCCCUGGUAGGGAAACGGAAAUUCCACACGACUAGGGUUUCUAGUGGGUACUGCGGUCCCACCAAUUUACAUGCCACCUCACCCAACAGUUAUUGGUGACACAUAGAUUGAUGAAUGUACAACUCUUGUACAAUGCUUCUUCUCAAGCAUGUUGCAGUGUAACUUGGUCUCUAAGCCAUGAAGACCUCACCUAACAGUUAUUGGUCCCAUUUUUUAGUUAAUUCAGACCCACCGUAUAACCGUAGGAAUAAAGUCGUCAUUGGGUCCUCACCUAACAGUUA
rnacentral:lncRNA from 1 species